rnacentral:rRNA from 1 species
CCUACGGGUGGCAGCAGUGGGGAAUAUUGCACAAUGGGGGAAACCCUGAUGCAGCGACGCCGCGUGAGUGAAGAAGUAUUUCGGUAUGUAAAGCUCUAUCAGCAGGAACGAGACAAGACGGUACCUGACUAAGAAGCCCCGGCUAACUACGUGCCAGCAGCCGCGGUAAUACGUAGGGGGCAAGCGUUAUCCGGAAUCACUGGGUGGAAAGGGAGCGUAGACGGCUGUGCAAGCCUGAAGUGAAAGGCGGGGGCCCAACCCUUGGACUGCUUUGGGAACUGUACGGCUGGAGUGCAGGAGAGGUAAGUGGAAUUCCUAGUGUAGCGGUGAAAUGCGUAGAUAUUAGGAGGAACACCAGUGGCGAAGGCGGCUUACUGGACUGUAACUGACGUUGAGGCUCGAAAGCGUGGGGAGCAAACAGGAUUAGAUACCCUUGUAGUC